CGACGCCCAAGACGCCGCGGCACGACGCCGGCACGCAGACGCCGCUGCCCUCCAGGCACAAGGAGAGCGCCGUCUAGCCCCCGACAGCACCUCUCCACCGCCAAUGAGUGGAUGGGCAGCAGUAGUUGGAGGCAGUGGCGCAGUCGUGUAUCGACGCAGUGCAGACUUUGCCAGCAGGUUUUCCCACGAAUAACCUAGCACUGGUCGACAGCUGUGCGACACGUCUGCAACAUACAAUUGUGAUAAAGACUGACGCCCAUACAAAAAAUUAUAUUUUUGUUUCAAAACGAGAUAUAUUGAU